rnacentral:lncRNA from 1 species
AUUUUCACCCUUUUAAUGAAUGAGAAGGGGCUAUGUGUUAGUCUAUCUCAUUUAGUUAGAAUUAGCUAUUGUUAGCAUAGCUUGUCCUCCUGCCAUGCUGAUCCCAAAUUACAUUUGCCAACUUUUCUUCUGAAAAUGUGUUUAUUGUUUUUCUCGGUCUACUUAUGCAGAGCAACAUUUAGCUUAUAGAGAGCGCGGGUCACUUAAUGACGAAUCUGUAUACAUCUUUAGUAAAGUUAGCCAGGUGGUGCAAUGGAUAGAACACUGGGCCAGGAGUCAAGAAGUCCCGACUUCAAGUCCAGCCUCAGACACUUAGUUGCUCUAUGACCUGGACAAGCCACCUAACCUCCAUCUGCUUCAGUUGUAAAAUGGGGAUCAUAAUAGUGUCCUCUUCCCAGGGCUGGAGGGAGGAUCCAAUGAGCGAGACAGGCUAGCCACUUAUCAAGAGGAAAUAUCAAGGGAAGAAUUUUGACUUUCUAGGGAAUCCUUUAGAGUCAUGACAGUGUGUAACAGAAGUGCCGUGGUGACCCUAGUGUAGACAUUCUGAAACUGGUGAGGACUGAGUGCUGGAACACAAUCUCUUUAAUCAGCUGCUGGGAAGUGCCAAGCCAGCAGACGAACUCAGGCCUUUCUGAAGACAAAACCAGCACGCUAUUCCCAGGCCAUUUUGCUGCUCGCUCUACCUCGCCAUCCUCAGCUAUAACUCACAUUCCAUCCAGCCCGUACUCUUUCUUCUGCCUUCUCUGCUGUUUUAUCUUUCAGAAAGGGCAUGGCCUAUGGUGAUAUCCACUGUCCCUGGGACUUCCCAAACCAAAACAGCCCUUCCUGACCGCUGCUUUCUCGUCUGUGUUGUCUUCUCCAUGAGAAUGUGAACUCUUCGAAAGCAGGGACAGCCUCGAUUUUGUUUUUGAGAUUCCAAAUUCAGACACACUGGAAGCGAGCAGUGUCCAGAGUGACUGCAGAGACAGAAGAGACCAGAAGCUCUCUCCCGUCCUCACCAUUCCUUCCGCUCCCCUCACACGGUCAGGGCAUGGAUCGCCACCAGGGAGGAGAGAGUCUCAUUCCUUCGGGCUUUGAGACUCGGUUCUACCUAUUUAGGACCAACGACUUACAGCUCAAUUAGCUUAAAAAAAAAAAAGAUCAACUCAGAUUUGUUUAUAAUGAUAAUGACAACGGUGUUGGGGACAGUUAACUCUUAAGAGAUUUGCAGGGCACUUUGCAUAUAGUAUAUUGUCUUGAUG